rnacentral:lncRNA from 1 species
AUUUGGUGGUGGUUGUGUUGGCUUCCAGCGCACAGGCCACUGCACUGAACAAAGGGUUUCUUUCUUUUCUUUUUUCUCUUUCAUUUUUUUUUCUUUUUUGGCCAAUGUUUUAUUCUUACAGUAUCAAAAUUUCUCAAAUAACAACUACUGUUUCAUCAAUCCGGUAAAAGUCAGAUAAGUAAAGCCCACACUCUACUACGAAAUCAGAAAGUGUGGCUCUUAACAACAGGAAGCUGAAAAGCUUUAUUGGAACUCAUCAAAUCAAAAACUAUACCUACUGCACUAACAGAGACCUAUGUGCCCUUAACCACACUGUUUGGCUGAUGGGACCUACCUUAUUAUUCAUUCUCUGCCCUUCAAACUGGGGAAGGGGGAAGAUUUUGAUCAUCUUUCUUGAGCACUCAACAAAAUUAUGUUGCCCCAUGUCCAUGGUGUACUAGGAAAUUCAAUAAUGGUAUGUGGUCUUUUUGAGUGAGGUCCCACAUGGAUCUCUUCCAUCCAGCUGUCUGCAUGGAGGACCUCGUAAGUUUUGGGGGUCCACCCCACAAAUAGUCCCAAUCUAAUGAUCAUGAUCAUGCUAUUCCCGCAAUCAUAGCACAACUUACUAAUGUUUUUUUUUAACUAUUGAAUUGAUGGUAACUAAUACAUACAUUAAGGUUGUCAAUUGUAAUAUGAUGAUGAUGAUGGGAGAGGAGUUGACCUUUUAUUACCUAUCACCUGUAGUUUCUUUCGCUUUAACCUAUUAAUAAUGUUCAUACAAGCAUUCAAACACCAACACUUCCUAGUUAUCACCACCAAGGAUUUGUGGAACAAAUUUUCAUGUGAAAAUUGAAGUCUAGUAUCCAUUCUUUGUUGAAUCUUGGUACUGCCUAUUUAGAUUCUAGUAGCUCAAAGAACUUCCAAAUGCAGACGCUGAGUUAUGGGCAAUUAAGGAAAAGGAUUUGCCACUCCAAUGACAGCAACUGGCCAACUGCACCUGCACGGAUAAAUGAAUGCAAGGUCUUCCUAAAAACAAGAUUUGUUGGCCUCACGCGAAGGUUUGAUAUGUGGUUGAUUGCACAAUAAUUUGGGUUCUAAUGGCAAGUUCUUCCAGUGGAAUGUUAAUGGUAUUCUCUGUUCCAUGACUUUCCAUCUAACAGUGGCGUGCAUUGACCACUCAAAAUACUCAAGAAUACAUACAGAAUAAAGAUGUCUGUGUCUUGAGAUAUAAUAGCAUAUAUUUAGAGAUUUGUGAAUUGGAAUGAUAGUCUGUCUUCUAACGACUGGACGACUAACCCAUCUGCAGCUCAAUUCUUUUGACGAAUUACUGCUAUAACGGGGACCACAGUAGUUUCCUUCAAAUGGAUUUCAAAUACAAACUAGUGUACUCAAGAGUCAAAUUACCUUGGUGAUCCAUCACACACCUAAACAUUAAAGCACCAAAUACUGGGCAUCACAAGAUGCAUCCUGACCAUUCCGACCAAAAAGGUCGGCGGAUCAUGCAAUGCAAAUCAAAUGGGAUUGCAUCACCACUGCUCAAAGCUAUAACACAGUGGCACAAUGCAGGUUUGUCAUGACUAUAAAAACUUGCAGGAACAUACCCGCUUCACUUUGAAUAGCUUUGGUGUGAACAUGAGAUAGACCAUCAUGCUCUAGUUGACUGUUACUAUGACUUUUGAAUAGUUGAUUUAAUUUGUGGUAUUAGAAUAUAAAUUCUUGCCUGGCAGCUCUGGUGAUGGGUUUUGCAAAUGUAAUUGAGUAUAACAAACUCCAUAAGAACUUGUUAAAAAGUGAAGUCCCAAGACUUUUCAAAAAGUAUAGUCCCACCAAAUUAGCACCAUAUAUGCAAAGCCAACAAAAGGAAGCUCAAGUCAACAAAGUGAAGUUCAUUUCAAUCAUUGCUUUGUCUUCAUUUGUAACCAAAGUAAAAAGCAGCAAUCAACAAUUAUCUACUACAUUGACAAUGAAUAUGUCCAGGUUAUAUACGUAGGUUAUUGAUUCUGAUGGCCAGUUUCUCUAACAUGAAAACUUGCAAAAUUUUAGUACACAAGAAUAUCUAAUGGCAUCAAAAUCAUAGUGAAUAUUAAUAUAAGCAUCAGAAUUAACAGUUAUCAACCACUACCACGACUAAAAUGUUCUCGAAUAAAUCUUUCCGCAUGGGAUGGAUACUUAUCUCGAAUAUAUGCUCGAAGACACUUCUGAUAGGAAAAAUCUAUCCAUCCACCAUCUGUUCUAACAACAAAGAGGCAUCUUGAGUGUCCAAAUUGGGGAUGCCUAUCAACCUUCAGAACGAAGUAAAACAGUUAGUUUGUCCUAAGGACAAUCAAAUAUUGAUCUCAUUAGAUGAAAAACAUCCGCGGAGGUGUGAGAAAAUGACAAAUAAUGAACAAGCUAAAUAAGGUAGAGAAAACAUAAAUAAAUAGAAGUAGAAUUCCAAAUGACAAAUAAUGGAGGGGAGAUAAAGCAGUCAAAAGGCUUUGCCAGCAGAUCUACAUGCCAGUCGCUAGACAAACACCCACUGGAUCUAGCUAUCAAUGUCAAGAAAACCAACAAAAGCUAAUGAGACAAUCUGUGUAAUAACAUUUUUCCAUCAUUUCUGUGGAAAAACAUCCACUCCUCAUAGAAAAGGAAACAAAUAAAUAAAUUAUUAUUGCAAUUCAAAGAAUAUAGAAUCCGAAGUCAAAGACAGAGAACCAAACUGACUUUGAGAUCAAGACUGUCUGCUUGUGCACAUAAACUGUUCUGAACAUCUGUACACUAGGAUUGUCAAUUGGGCUGAGGUGGCCAGCUUCGACACAUUGAGCUUGGGCUAACCUUUAUUUGAAAUUGACAUAAACCAGAGUUUGACUAAUCUAAAGUAAAUGCAAAAUUUUGUGUCUAUGAAUUUUAUGUUUGAUAUUUACUGAUUUUACGUUAUUCUACAGACAAUGAAAGAACUUACUUGAAUUAAUAGGUACAUGUGUUUAACCUUGUUUUGGGUUGAAGUUCCUACUAGUGAUGAAUCUAUGAAAUCUGUUAGCAUGGUAUCAGUGUUUUAAAUGAGCAGUGUUAUUAAGGUCUCAACCACACUCAUUUACCAAAUAAGCUGAGAACAGUAAGUUUGAUAUAUGAUAUGUGGAGCUAAACUGAUAUAGGCUGUUGUCAGUUAAACCAGUUGACAGGCCUACUGCAUUAUAAAACCAUCUCUCAAGUCGUUAUUACAAGAACCACAAUCACUACCAUAAACCCAGAUGUAUUUGUCAGGCAUAAUGCAGUAUGUGAUUCAACUUCAAAUAGUCUCAAUUAGAACAGAAGAUGAGGAGAUUAAAGAUUUAUGUGAUUAACACCCCCUAGUCCACAACUACAAAAUGCUCAACUGGCCUAAUUGUUGCCGAAGAAAAACAAAUGGAUUUCGUGUGUAUGCUCGUGCAUGGAGGGAAAAGUUAGCUGAGAAUUCAACUUAUCAGUUCAAAGCAAGCAUUUCAACCUCACUUCAGUAUAUUAUACCAAUUUAGGAAUUAAAAGCAACACUCUAGAAUACUUUCAUCCACUUUAUAAGAUACAUCCUCUUGAGCAACGACUUCAUCACCAAUUUAUGAACAAACCACAGCAUCAGGUGUCCAUAAGGGUGAUUGCCUUGCAAGAGGCAAGAUGCUACCAAAUAAAUUGCACAACUAUUCUUAAGUAAGAUGGAGAAGUAAUAGAUAGAAAAAUGGAUGAUGAACAACAAAACUCCUCUUUUCGAUCUUACAUAAUAAAAGACAGAGCCACCAAAAUGAGCACUGAGGCUCAAGUUAUAGAUGCAACAAGGAUAAAGAAUUCAAGCUAGGGCUUUAACAGACAAGGUGUUUGACAUGAGAUGUAACUGAUGAAUGGCAUAAAGGACUCAUGAGAAUUACUCAAAAGAAAGAGAUUUAAAUCUUAGUAUCCAUGAUUAGUUCCAAAAUUUUCUAAAGAACGACUUAAUCAAUGCAGAAUGAUGUUGAAAAAGAAGUGAGUACAAAAGUUUCUUGACAGCAGCUUCAAUGAAAAGCAGAAACAAAACUAUAUUAAAUACCAUAAACUACAACUCACCAUAAUAGCAUCAAGGCCACAUCCAAUUUUAUCUUCAGAAUGUGGGUGAUAAGCAAGAAGCUUCUCCACCACAGCUCUCUCAUCAUCAGCUGUAAGACGUUCUCCGUCCAUAUACCUUGAAGCAGGAAACACAAUCAAAUAACUUAAGAAGAUGACAUUGUUUUAAAUUUCAGCAAUAUUGUUUCAUAAAGGGUUAUUAAUCUCUACUUUCUAGCCUCUAUAUCAAAAGAUCAUGAGAUCCAAUUUCAACCUUCAGUAAGUGUGUUUUCCAACGGCCUCCUUCUCAGCUUUAGAACAAUUCUUAAAAAGUUUGAUUACAACACACUUUUUGCAAGUUAGGAUGAGUUAUAAAUGAGAUAAUUAAAUAUGGAGAGCUUUUGACUCUGGCAAAUACCUUAUAUAUAUGUGACGGGGAACAUAGUUUCUAAGAUCCAAGUUGCUCCAAUUUUAUGUACUAGCAGGUUCAGACACAAGUUCAGAAGUUGAAGUAGACUUAAAAAACUAAUCCAAAGAAUUUUAUUUACUAUCGUUUCCUAAAUUCUAGCUCAGAGCAAGAGGCUUAUCAAAAGCAAAACUACAUCUUUACCGGGGCUACUAACUAGUUCAUAUGAUUCAUUUUCAGCUAAGUAGCUUGUACUUCAUGCGGAAGUGUAUUGGUCCUACAAGGAGUUCUAAGCUCCAAAAAAGAGCGCGUACUGUUUCUGUUCGGUACUAUCCAACGGAGUUCAUAUUGCAUUCAAUUAUGCACAUUUUACAAAACAAGUACGACCACCAAGAACAAUGAAAAAAUAUUAGUCCGUACGUUGUUUGAGGCCAAUCUUUUAUUUCCUUGUCAUACACCACAAAUGAAUGGUAGCUGAAACUUAUCUUGUCACUAGGGUUACACGCCUUAAUAGUAGAAAUGAUUCGAAGGGCAAAGUACAUAUCUACAUUAACAUUAUCUAUUACUAUCAGCCUGGAAGUGAAAGAAUUGAACAACAAAAACUAAAGUAGUUGCUUUGUUAUUACGGAAAGAGAAAUGGAAAUUAUGCGUAUGGAAUGAGGGGAAGCUAACCUGCGGGAGUGAAGAAUUUCUUUGGCGAGAAAAAGUAUAGGCUCGAUAUCUCGUAGAAUCUCAUCCUCCUUAUCCUUCCACUUCCUGUAAUCAGGAUCGGCCCACCUAUGGUACUUUGGCGGUUCUUUCACUGUCAACAAUGUUGUGGUGUUAUUGUCCGCAGAUGAUAACUUCUCCUCCGGCUGAGUCGGCUCGGAAGGUGCAGCUGAGCAGAAAGUUACGCGCGGCAGGCCAAGGAGCCUGGCGGCGGGACGGAAGCGCAGAAGCGGUAAUCCCCUAAAGAGCAUAGGUGCGGCCAUGACCACGAGUGAGUCCCGAGUGCCUUCUUCUGCCUCAACUUGAAAAAGUUUGACUCAAAGAUACGGGCUGGGUUGACUGAUGUGGAUAAUACUAUACUUUGAUUUGGGCUUUGUCCUCGGCCUACUGACCAAAACAAAACCAAUGCAAACCGAACCGAUCUCGUACCUAAACGUAUAUAUUUUUAGGAUCUCUCUAAGUUACAUGCAUGUACCUUACAACCCUCUCAUAUGAAUAGUAUCUAUACACUAUUCAUGUGAGAGGGAUGUAAGGUACAUGCAUGUAACUUAGCAUUACCCAUAUUUUUAUGGUGCGCACUGUAUUAAUUGUAUUGUAUCAUUGUUUAUAGUAGUAAAAUAUAUUAUUUUAAAUUAUAAUUCAAUACAAUAUUCAGUGUAAUACGAGCUAUACUAUAUAAAAUAAUAUAUUAAGUUUUAUAAUAUAAUAUUAUAUUAGAAUAUUAUUUAUUUCUAUAAUAUAAUAUAAUUUAUUUUAUUUAGUAUAAUCAUAUUAUAAUAUAGUAUGAGUUAAUAUUAUAUUAUAGAUAUAUAAUACUGUAAUAUAAUAUUAUAAAUCAAUAUAAUAUUAAAUUAUAAAUUUAUUUUUAUUUAUUAAAUAAUAAAAGAUUAAAUAAAAAUCAAAUAUUCUCUAUGCAUUUAAAAUAAAAAUUAUUAAAAUGAUUUUAUUUAGUAAAGCAAAAUAAUCUAUUAUCGUUUAUUUAUUAAAUAUUUAGGUUUAUCACUGUCUUAUUUUUAUGAAAUAAUUAUAAUUUAUGUGGAUCAAGACAACUUGUUAUCUCUCCACCAAAUAAUUCUUCGUCUCAUAAGAAAUGAGAACUUAUCUCCUUAUUUACAUACACUUGAGAUUAAAUAAAAGACAUACAUCUAGAUUUUUAUGAAUGGAUUUUUACUAACGGGGGGAUUUGUGGGUAAUUUACCAUCUAGAAGGCUGAAUUCGCAAUUCAUACAUUUGGAUUUCUAUAGCUUUGAAUUUCCCAACUCAAUUAAUGAAAAUGAUACUUUUAAAAGAUCAGCUGUUUUGAUUAGGUCCAUCGCAGAUGUAAGGAAGAGGAUAAUGGUUGGCUUGAAGGAUAAUGGUUGCUGUUCAGUCAGCUUCAUUUAUGAUCUGGCUGAUGCUAACUAUUUGCAUUGUCACGGCUUAUAGCGGGGUAUUUGCAGAUUGUACGUCUCACUAAAAGAUUGUCAUAAAAAUAUUAACGGGAAUAUUGAUCAAUCUUCUUACCUUCCUUUUAGAAUUGAAUCAAAAUUUUAAAUCCAACUCCAACAUCUAACUUUUUAAACAUUAAAGCUGUUGAAAAUGCAGAAUCUUAGUAGGCACUUUUAAAAUUCAAAGCAAGGAGAAUAUCUUUUAUUCAUUUCAAACCAUGAUUAAAAUCCUUUAAUUAUAGCAUGAAUUGAAUCGUAACCUUCUCUAAUACUCAUCAGAUAUGUUACCGGAUUCGAACUUAAUUUUGUUUAUGGCCAAAGGAAACAUAAUGGUUGAAAAAAAAUAAUCCAGAAAGAUCGCCCUCAUUUGCCUACCGUAUGCCCUCGUCUUGAUGUUCUGUUUUUACUACUGUUUGCUUAGCCAUGUUACCCAUGUGGAGAUGGUAAAUUCAUCCAUUUAAAUUGGAUAUUCAUAUAUAUGUGUGUGUAUAAUUAGACUAGAUAAUAUUCAUUCAAAACAUUUUAUAUAUAAAUAUGAAUAAUUUUAAAAUAUCCAACUCAAUAUUGGAUAGAUGUGGAUAUUAGAUAAUAUCCAUUAUCCCAUUCAUUUAUCCGAUUUUUAAAUUAAAAAAUGAAGAAAUACAAAAGUGUCUUAAGCAACAACAUUUAUUCUCAAAUACACCUACACAACAAACUUAUAGAAAAAUAUUUUGAUCUUAUAAAAUUUAGAAAAACAUUCAUUGGUGACAUUAUCCUGUCGCUAGUAACACUAUUCUAGCAGGAACGCUGUCAUAUGGUGACGAAUUUUAUGUAAUUGGACUGCCGCUUUGUGAUCUAUGUAGUUGUACUAAUUUUAUCAGCAAAAGCGAAAUCUUGGUGGCACAAAUGCUACCAAAAAGUAUGGUGGAUACAUCACACCGGCGUCAAACAACAGUGCCGCAGUGUGGACCGCCAUGUCAAUCAACCAUAUCGGAUGCCAGCAAUGUUUAUUAAGGUGACGAUGCACUUUAUUGCGCAGCAAAAUAUGGUGCAUUGCGUAGAUCACAAAAUUUCAAGUCCGAUGAUACGAGAUUCAUCAAUAGUUGCCCGCCUUCAUUAUCGUCGGCAUCAACGUAGUAGUCGGUCAGAAUAGGAACCCAACGAUUUUGUUUUAGUAUUAUAUUUUUAAACAAAAUAAUUUUGAUUAGUUUUUAAAACUAAUGAUUCCAGGAAAUAUAAACAAAAAUGAAUAAGAAUUUAUUAAUAUAACAUUAUUAAUUAGAUUUUACUAUACUUAUAUGUUACAUCCUUUUUUAAUUUAGAAAUAUAAAUUUAAUAUCCAUGAAUAUCAAUAGUUAUUCAUUUCUAUGUCGAUAAAAAUUCAUACCCAUAUUCAAUAUCUAAAACUAAAUAUAAAGAUGAACAAAUUCAUCAUAAAUAAUCAUAUAUUUGUAUGUAAAUAAUUAAUAUGUGUACAUGGAUGGGCAGUUUCAGUUUGGGAUCGGCAAUCAACUCGAUCAAAUUUUGAGUUAGUCGAGUUGAAAGAAAAAAAAGUAAUAUAAACUUAAUCAAAACUUAUAAUCUGAUUUAAUCUGAUUUUAAUAUAGUGCGGAUCAUAUUAGUUCGAAAAUUUGUGUUAUAAAUAGUUUGUGUGUGCAUGGUGCUGCUUCUUUGGAUUUUUGAGUCAGAUCAGAUUAGAUAAAAUCUAAUCCGAUCAAGUUAGAGUCUUUAUUCACAUUCAAUCUGGAUUUAAAAUUUUCGGAUCAUUGGUUGGAUUGAAUUGUCUGCCCACGCACGGUCACGGACGAUUAAUCAAAACCAUGAGAUGAAAAUCGAAACCAAUAUACUAUUACCGCGAGGCAGCGAAGCGAGUGCUCAAGAAAGGCGUGAGACGCUCGACUCUAUAAAUUUUUGUUAGGAGAAACUAGAAAGUUAAUUAUAUUGGAAAGAUAAAAUCGCUUAAAAAAAAAGAAAAAGAAAAAGAAAAGAGAAGAUAAAAUAAGAAAGGAAAUAAAAAACUCCAGAAAAGCCAAAUUGAAAUCCGAUUUCGUGUCCGUGUCUGCGCAAUUGGCAGCAAAGGGUCAGAGACCCAUAGAGCUAGAGGAGAGGAGGCUCCUGCCCUGAGUAGCUUAGCACAAAGUUUUUUUCUACGGUGGUGCCUAGGAUAACAGUCCUGAGGCCAAAUCUCAAUCGUUGAUUCUUCAACUUCGCCGUGGAUGGGCCAGUCAGCUUCGACGGCCGCAAUCUCAAGCCGCCGAGAAUUUAACCACAGCCAACGAUACAAGUCCAAAUCGACGGCUGUGAUCUCUCCAAUGCAUGCUGACGAAAGUAGCGCCGAACUUCCCGAUGGAACAGCCUAUGAUUACAUCUCGAACCUGCCCGACGAGUGCUUGGCUUGCAUUUUCCAGUCUCUUAGCUCCGGUGACCGCAAAAGGUGCUCUCUCGUUUGUCGUCGUUGGCUCAGGAUCGAGGGGCAGAGCCGUCACCGUCUUUCUCUCAACGCCCAGUCAGAACUCCUCCCUAUGAUUCCCUCUCUUUUCUCCCGAUUCGACGUCGUCACGAAACUUGCUCUCAAAUGUGACCGUAGAUCCGUGAGCGUUGGGGACGACGCGCUUAUUUUAAUUUCUCAAAAGUGCCGCAACCUCACGCGGCUGAAGCUCCGCGCUUGUCGUGAGCUGACGGACGCCGGAAUGUCAGUGUUUGCUAAAAACUGCAAGGGUUUGAAGAAGCUCUCCUGUGGAUCUUGCACUUUUGGAGCCAAAGGCAUGAACGCAGUGCUCGAUAACUGCUCGACUCUCGAAGAGUUAUCGGUUAAGCGGCUUCGCGGAAUCACAGAUGGAGCCGCGGCUGAGCCGAUUGGACCUGGCGUGGCUGCCUCUUCGCUUAAAACUGUUUGCCUAAAGGAACUUUACAAUGGACAGUGUUUUGGUCCGCUAAUAAUCGGGGCAAAGAAUCUAAGAACUUUAAAACUUUUUAGGUGCUCUGGCGAUUGGGACAAGCUUCUUCAGCUGGUUACGGAUCGGGUCACAAGUUUGGUCGAGAUCCAUCUGGAGAGAAUCCAAGUCACCGAUGUGGGACUCGCUGCCAUAUCCAAUUGUUUAGAUCUAGAAAUUAUGCAUCUGGUCAAAACUCCAGAGUGCACAAAUCUUGGACUCGCCGCUGUAGCCGAGCGAUGUAAACUAUUGAGAAAACUCCACAUUGAUGGAUGGAAAGCCAAUCGUAUUGGCGAUGAAGGACUAAUAGCUGUAGCAAAAUGUUGCCCUAAUUUGCAAGAGUUAGUUCUUAUUGGCGUGAAUCCUACCAGAGUGAGUCUGGAAGUUUUGGCUUCAAAUUGUCAAAAUCUAGAGCGAUUAGCCUUGUGUGGUAGUGACACUGUUGGAGAUGUGGAAAUAUCUUGCAUAGCUGCAAAAUGUGUUGCUUUAAAGAAGCUUUGUAUCAAGAGCUGUCCCGUUUCUGAUCAUGGAAUGGAAGCUCUGGCUGGUGGGUGUCCGAAUUUGGUGAAAGUGAAGGUGAAGAAGUGCCGAGCAGUGACCACUGAAGGCGCGGAUUGGUUGAGAGCAAGGAGGGAAUAUGUUGUUGUGAAUUUAGAUAGCGGUGAGGCUGAACAUCAGGAUGCUAGUGAUGGCGGAGUUCAAGAGAACGGUAUCGAGUUUCCUCCCCAAAUGGUGCAGCCUAGUGUUGCAUCGAGUAGGAAUACUCGAUCAACCUCAUUCAAGACAAGGCUAGGGCUAUUGAGUGGGCGGAGUUUGGUUGCUUGCACUUUGAGGAGGUGGUCAAGUGGUAAUAGCAGUUCAAGAAAUAGUUAAUUAUAAAAACUGAACUCUGUUCUUCAACUUUGUUUACAUUAUUUUCUGUUGGAUUGUCUGAUUUACAGCCUUUCUUGUAUUUAAUUAAAUUCUGUGCUGUGUGUUUAUUGUCUUCUGAGUUGAAACUUAAUUGGCAAGAAAGCAAUCAUUUUUAUUUUCUCUUAAACUUCUCCAUUUGUUUGAAUUUCUUUGUUGACCUAUGUUCACUUGAAGUAACAUUUCUUUAUUCAUAGGCUAACUUUGGACAAUAGUUGCUUUCCAGAAUUGUAACUCCUGAUUUAUCUAAUGUGUAAUCUGGGUACAAAGUUUAUUGACAUUUCAAGAAGAUACUAUUUGCCACAUCAGGAAAUGCACUUACAUGGUACUAUUUUUGUACAUACUGUAACUGUGUUAUGUAAAAUAGAAGUAUAUUGGGUAACACAUUAUUGAAGGUAGUGCAUUAGAAGUCCUUUUCUUAUUUGGAAAGUUCUGUAGCUUUAUUAUUUUAUAGUUGUUGAGCAUAAUUCACAAUUGACAAUUUGGCAUCAGUUUAAGAGGUCAUGACUCAUGAGUUCAAGCUAAGCAGAGUCAGGAAUCUGAGGCAGCUAAGCUCGGAUGGGCUGUAUGUUUCGAACUUCUCUGGUGAUUCAUCCUCGGAAAAAGUUUGAUAUGUGAUACAAUUAUUUUUUAAUUGUUAGACAUGCUUUGUUGGCAGGUUCCCAGUAAACUGCUUUAGGAUAUUAUAUUGAAUGUAGCAGGUACGGUACAUAAGAUGUUUGAACAUUGAUUCUAGGAGGUUUGAUAGCAGUAAGACUUCUAGCUACAACUAAAUUCCACGCAAUUUGUGUCCACUGUGAAGGAAGUGCAAUUCAUAGUAGUUAGGGUAAAAAAUUUGACUAGCUUUUCGUUCUGCAUAUUCUGUUUUAGCCAGCUGCAGUUUAUUUACACACUUUCUCUAGUUUCUGGGAGCAUUUGAAGGAGGGAAUUGAUUCAACUCCUAAUGGCUAUCUGAUGCUGGUCUUACAAAAUGGGAGACACAGUCUUCUUUAGGUUUUGAUAGUUUCUUGUGUGAGAUACAUGGAUCAACCCUGUAGAGAUUGUAGCAACAAUUAGCUCAGUGUGUUUCAAAAUGUGCCUGGUCUCCCCUUCUAUCAAAUGAGUUCGGCUGGAGGACCUUAUUCCCAUUUCAGGUCUACCAGAUUAUCAGAGUUUGCCAUUUUCUCUGUUUUUGUUACUGGAAAUUAGAACUCUGAGUGAUUGAUUGUAUGUUUAUCACCUCUCCGGUCACUAGCUGUAUGGUGGCAUUGAGGACAAAGGUAGUUCAAUCCUAAGUUGUCACAUGUGGUGUUCAUUAGUGUAUGAUAGUUCUGGCAUAUGAUGCAAGAAGGUUAAUUAUGCAAUGGCCAUUGGAGUUGAUUGGUGAUUUUUAGUCUUUGUUUCUCAAAUAUGAAGUGCAUUAUUAGGACAUAUAUGGGUAAUGUGUGCACUACUCACGACUUGUCUCUUUCAUGUGGAAAAAGUGUUACCAUAGUCAUUAGCGUGGACAAUGUUCCCUGACCUAAUUGUUGAAGGGCACUCACCACUGAAAUUUGCGAGCUCACUUUAAAACCUUAUGCUGGACGUUUUCCUCCAACUAGCCUGAAAGAACCAAAGCAUGAGAACUUGGCCUGUCUGGCUGGCUGGUCACGGAAGCACAGGAAACCCUGGUAAAGAAAGGCUUCCAUCACACAAGACUCUUUAGAUUUCACGUGUUCAUCUCCCUAACAACAUGCUCCAUUGCUAUUGUGUUAGUGUACUGGUCUUAGAAAGCUUGUCACGAUUUCCAUGCCAUGCAGCAGCAAUCUUUUACCCACUUUCAACCGGCUUUUAAGGUGUUAUAAUCACUUUGAUAACUGUAUUCAAAUCUCACGGGCUCUCAGCUGAUCUUACUGGUUUUCUAACACUUUUUCCUCUCCUGCUCAUGCCAUGAGUUUGAAGAGUGCUGAUAUUGAGACCGACUUCGCUGACCGAAAGUGGCUGACAAAACAAUUUGGCUCUCGUUUUCAGCUUUCGCUCAUUUAUUCAAAUAAGAAAAGGCAAACCACCUAUGUAAACGUACAUGCCACCAUUAUUUUUAUCAUCUUCAACUUUACCAAAUUCUUACAGCCAGUCUCAAAAGUACGAGGGAAAAAAAUUACUUUUGCACCGAAAGCGAACAACAUACAUCCCGCCAAAAAAAACUACCAUUUACUCUUUUUUCUUCACGGCAGCGGCAUCAAUCAUCUUUGAUUUUGCCGCAGGAUAAUCGUUUUACCUUUGUGAGUGGUUUUGCUGGCAAAGUUGAAGAUAAACUUUUCCGGGUAAAAUUGAAGAUAAAAUUUGGUAUCCGUGCAAGUGUGAUUUUACACGGGUGGAUUUAAUUAAUAGUAUUACUAGUGUGUUUUUAGUUGAAAAAAGAGUAGAUGAGAUGCUUCAGUUAAAAAAACAGGGUUAAAUUUACAGUUUUGUCAGCUACAUGGGUCAGCAGCUGCGAUCUCCGGAUCAUUUUCCAAGUUCGAAAGUUCCAUUUGACGCCUUCCCACAUCACAGCCAGGAAAGCAUAGAAAUAAACAUAAUCCAGAUCACACUAAAUAGUAUAAUAAGCCCACAUAUGCUGUCAAGGUUGAUACAGCAUAGCAUUAUUCAUAUUUUACCACCAAAUCAGAGUCGCCCUGCUCAUGCUGGUCCGUGAUAAAGCAAUGAUUUAGCAAAGGUAUAUUCCAAAACCCACAGUACCAAAAGUUUGGAGCCACUAGAUUUUAAAGAUAUUGUAUGCAAAAUAAGAUGAGUUCAUAAAAUUUCUGAUCAAUCUUUCACAAAAUUAUGAAGAAUUUUUAAGACUACUUAGCAAUGCAAACCAUCAAAUAUCUGUAUCACCUUCUCUUUAUUAUAUAUUUAAGAUUAAAACAAGUUGCACCCACACCAAACACAACUUAAAUUAAGUUUAAACCAUUACAUAAUGGCAGAAUGAUAACACCUUGGCCCGGUAAUGACGGCUCACUUGCCAAACCUGUCGAACCUCAUGGUGUCAGCAGAGCGAACCUACCUAUAGCCUGUUCUCCUUUUACUCAUCUUUCUUCUCUUUCUUAUCUUCAGGUUUUCGGUAUAAAAUCAUCUGACUCAGGACGAUCCCAUUCAUCAAGGCACCCAUUGUAGAGCCCAUAACAACUUCAAAAGAAUUAAGGACAAAUACUUGGGCACGUGUAUUUUAUAAGCAACGGCAAAGCUCAGACAGGAAAAGAUAUGUGUACUGGUGAGGUGUUCAUCAUUUGUUCAAAUAUCCAGCGUCCAAUUAUAUAGAAAUUAAUGCAGCACCAAUCAUUAACCAGAAAAUUGCAUAGUACGUAAGAUCAUGACAAAUUCUUUAGACAUGCGAAACUUAAAAUUACCAAUUCGUAGUAAAUUUGCUGCAGGUACAGAAGAUAACCUUCUUGAAGAACACAUGUAACACAACAAUUCCUAGGAGAAACUUAUGCAAUUAACAAUUAAGAAAUAGUAAACAAGGAUACCAUUUGUUGGAGCUUUUUCUUGGAUGCUUGUAAAAACUCUCACUGUGGAAGAGGAAAAAAUGAUUAGUUCUUCAGUUAGUAACCCAACACUACUUCAAUAAACAAAUAAACUCACCCAUGGCACCACCAAAACUCAUGAGACAUGUCAAGAAGCUGAGCUGUCCAGUACUUUUGUUCUGCAAAAUAAAUAUUUAUGAAUCUCUAAAAUUAGGGAAGUUCUCUUUAGAGAUGAUAUGAGAGAUGCAGUUGGUCAUAUCCCACUGAUUCAGCAAAAUGAUUCCAUUACUUACUUUAAAGUUCUUCCAUAUUUGAGGGAUCCUGGCAGAUAAAAAUGUGAUAUGCUGGAAUGCCUGUACAGAUCAAUUCCACAUAACUCAGGCAUCAAAUGUACAGAAACUUAGAAUUAACCACAAAACAAAAACUCCUGAAUGCUUGGACGUGUGCAUGGUUGCAUAAUAUUAUCCCCUAGCCUACCAAUAAGAAUGACACAGACGAAGGAAAGGGACUGAAAAUAUUUGGCUAACGAAGUCUGGAAGGCGAAAGGUGAUACUCACAUAUAUAGUUUCAAAAAGAACGGGAUUAAUUUGACCAGCUAAAAUGGUUGGUGCUAUAGCACAAUAUCUGAAAUACCAUCAGGUCAAGAGAAAAGCCGACUGUAUAAUCUUAUCCUUGCAGGUUAAAAUUUAAACAAAGAAAAACCAAAAGAAUAAAGUGAUUGGGAAAGCAAGCAGGAUACAGCAGUGCCCUGAUCCACGUUGCGGUACCAACAGGUUGUGAAUAGUAGUAAGUUAUAGCAACUAAAAUUAAUCCUGCAAACAACAGGCAAAAGAGGAAUUGUGUUAGACACUUGUUCUCAAGGAUUAAGCAUUGGAUUCAAUCAUGCAGCACAAUGUCAUGAAGAUAUCAACACCUCAUCCAAAUCGAAAUCCAAUACUUCACAUAAAAGACCCAGCAACAUAGAACAGGAACAGAUGGAUUUUGACAGACUUCUCUUUGUUAAAUUUGAGAACUGGGUGGGGAGAUUCACCACCGUAGCAAAUCUAACCUGGUUGUGGCUAACAAUAUGAGUAUUAAACACAGCAUGUAUGUGUUAAACCUAAUCAGAGUUGUCAUUUAUUUAUUUAAUAAUUCAUACUCUCUGCAUUUUGGAAACACAAUUUCACAGACUUGAAAUAAAGAAUCGACACAGAAGAAUAAAACCAAAAUAAUAUAGCAUUUACCUUGGAUCAAAAUAAAGAACACCUCCCCAUAAGCUGAAAAGGGAAUCCCUUUCUGAAUAGAAUACCCCAGACCAAUAGUAGCCGCAACUACUUCAAGCUCGAAGGUAGUGGCGCUAAUCCCACUUGCACUUCUAUGCUUCAAGAUUUUCAAUAUCUACAAUUGUACAACAGUGAACAAAAAUAAUAAUAAUAAUAAUAAUAAUGAAAAUAUUAAUAGAGUUGCUGUAGCAGAGCGAAUCUCACCCGUUGAUCAAUUUCAUAUGAAAUAUUAAAGAUAAGAGGGAAGGCGGGACUGUGACCUGAGGGAGUUUGACGGUAGUGGAGAGGGCGACGAUUAAGUAGCCGAGGACCUUCGAAAGGAGAGGCAGCAAACAAUCUUUCUCUGGAAAUUUGCCAUCUCGCAGAGAUCCGGUCACGCAGCCAAUGUUAAUCCCUAGAUAAUCCAUGGCCCCCUCUUUUUUUUCUUUUGAAUUAUGGAAUUCAAUCAAAUUCCAAUUACAAUUCAACAACAACUACAGCAACGUUUAUAUUAUAUUGUAUUAUUUUAUUACUAGCAAAGUAGCAAGUAGCAACUGCCUUCAAAGGACCAAAGUUUUGACAGCACACUCCACUUUCAAGUUUCCAGAAGAAAUGAUGCUCACGCCACUACACACUUCUCUAUGCGUUCACUUUUUUAAAACACAAAAAAGGACAACUAUGAUUAUUCGGAUAAGUGGACUACAAUUGCCCCAAUGACUAGCUAAUAAGGCCCGUGGCCAUACCCAUUACCCAAUACAAAAUAUCCAGAGAUUUUAUUUAAUUUAAAACUUUUUCUUUUUUAUUUAAAAACAAUUUCAAUUUUGUUGUAAUGCAUUCGGAAGCCCAGGCCCUGCACAUCCAAACUUGGACAGGCUUUUCAAAGAUUCCGGCUUGUUUUGGAAACAUGGGCUUGGGCUUUUGCCAAGCCAUUUAUCAAAUAAAAUUUUAAUUUUUUUAUUUGAAAUAAAAAGUGGAUAUAAAGAAGAUCGUAAUACCCCAAAAACUAAAUUAAAACGUCUAAAUGAUAAUCAAAAUACCAAAUAGAGAUAAAUAUUGUUAGUUAGGUACUUUUCUUACUUAAUUAAUUUUAAAUAUUUCCUUAAUUAUGAAAAUUCUAGCUCUUAAUUUCAUAGUGCCUCAUUAAGUUUACAUGUUCAAGAUUUAAGUUCUUGCUGGGUGCUGGCAAUGAAUGUAAUUAAACGGUUUUCCUUCUCUGGCCGUGCGAAAAUUUCAUAAUUCUUUCACGUGUGGAAGCUAAAAUCAUCGCAAUGAAAAUCUACUGUAUAUAAUCCAAACAUAUCAAUCGAGACUAGUUUCCUUCGAAGUUCUAUCCAAUUAGUAAAUUGUCCACUUUUCUUUCGUUGGUCAAAUUACCCAAUCGAUUGAUGGCUCCAUAGAAACGAAUCGUUUCAUCUCCUCUACGGCUCACACAAGAAGAAGAAGAAGCUGUUCUUGGAUUCGCCUUGUUCAUUUCGUUGUUCCAGUCACUCUUUAGUAGUAAUCUACGUAUUCAGCGGUUGUUUAUUUUUAUUUUUUUACUCAAUAAUUUAAUUAACUUAAUUUUAAUAUAUUUAUUCAAUUUAUUUUUUUUGACUUAAUAAAAAAUUUCAAUUAUUAAGUUUUUAAGUCAAUUUUUUUAACUUUUUAUUUGAUUUAAAAAGUUUGAAUGUUAUUAUUAAAAGAUAUUCUCUGAAAUAUUCGCAUUUAAUUGCCUAAAUAAAAUUUAAUAAUUAAUAUUAUUGUCCAUUUCUAUAACUUAUGUUAAUAUAGUAGUAGACUAUUAUUACUUUUAUUUUUUUAUUUUAUUCAAAUUCGUAUUAUUUAUCUUCACAAUUUUUAUGAAUAUUUUUCAUAUAAAAACAUUAUAAACUAUAAUAAAAAUAAUUAACAUAUACUAAUUUAGAAUAUAAAGAGUUGCAUUUAAUUGAACAUGAUUUAUAUUAUCAUAAUAUACUAUCUUAUUUAAGUUCUUUGAGAAGUGUAUUAUUUAUUUAACAUUUAUAAUUUAUAAGGGCACGAAUGUAAAAAUAUUGAUUUUAGAUUUUUUUUAAGUUAAAAAACAACUUAAUAUUUAUUUUUAACAAUUAAAACAAAAAAUAAACAUAUUAUUCAGAUUGAGACAUUAAAUUUUAUUCUGAAUUUAAAGUCUAUUGUGCUUUUAGGAGGGAAAAAAAAAAAAGAAAAGGAAAAAAGCCACCUAACUUAGACAUUGGUUUUAUGGCCUUGAAUCAUUUUUGCUUUUGUUUAGGGAUGGCAAUGGAUCGGAUCUGAUCUAAGAUCCACGUAAUCAAAAUCCAAUUGGAUCGAAUUUGAGUCGUAUUAAAAUGGAUUUAGAUAUAUAUGCGUGAAUUUAAGACAAAUUUGGAACAAGUUUGGAUUUAUCUUAAUAUCUAGAAAUAGAUCAAUAUCCACUCAUCAUUUAAUUUAAUUUAAUUUUAAAAUUUUCUUAACAAUUAUGUAAUUGUAAAUGAUAAUAAAAUUUAUUCAUAGCAUAUUAGUGGCAUUUAGCAUGUAUUUAAGAAUCUUAAAACUUAAAGGUAUUUAAAUGAUAAUAAAAUAAAAUUAGGAUAGCCGGCCCUAAUUUUUUUAACUUUUUCACUCUACAAUUUAGCCUCUUUCUUUCUCUUUAGUCUACUCUCGCUUCUCCACUUCAUUUGAAUGCUUGGAUUAGUCCUUUAAUUGCUAGAAAAAUCUCUAGACUUGAAUUUAUUUUUUCUCAAUCAUUUUCUUAUAAUUUUAUUUAUGUUGUAUAAUCACUAAUCAGUGGUGGUUAUUACCUAUAAAAUAAUUAUGUUAAUUAUAUAUUUAGUUAAAUAUAGUCAUAAUUAAAAUAGUAAAGCAUUGAAUAUAAUUAAUCAUAUUUAACUUAUAUGAUAUUAUUUAAUGAUCUAAGAAUAAUGAUGGUGUGCCGUGGAUAUCAAAAUAGUAAAAGAACAUUAGAAUAUUCGAAUAAUCUUUUUCGUACGAUUACUUUUGAUGAAUAUUUUAUUAUAUUUUUUAUUUGUUUGUUUUGGUGUAACAACAUAAGUUACAAUACUUAUUAGAUUUUUUAUACAAAUUAUAUAAUUUUAUUGUUACCAAUGCAUUUUAAUCUUUAAAUUUCUUUCUAAAAAAUUAUUGCUCUCUUAGUAUUGAGAUUUAGAAUUCAUGACGGAUUUAGAACAUAUUUAUAUUUUAAUUUUUCUUUUUAUAUUUAGAGCAAAUAUAUAUCUUUAUUUUUUUGUUUCAGAUCUGGAUACAGAGUGAAAAACAUGGAUUUAUGACGGAUCUGGAGUAGUUACGGAUCUAAAUUUUUAUUAUGGAUUUAGAUAUAACGUAAAUUAGAUCCAAUCUAUAUCUACCCCAUUGCAAUCCCUACAUUUAGGUAAUUUAUUUAGUGUUUUGAGUUGGUGUGGUAAGUACAAUUUCACAUUCUGGAAGUAUUAUUAAUUUCUUUUGAAUCAAUCGUGGUGGACAGUAAUUGAGAUAGCCUUCUCUAGAGAUAAAACAAAAAACAAAAAAAAGCGACCAGAGACAUAAUUGAAAUGCUUAUAAGGUUAAAAUCCAACAAAAUAAAUUUUUUAGUAGAAAACAAGUCGGUUGCAGAGUGAGGGGAUUACUCUAAACACAGGGAUACGACGAGUGGACGUUACAUAUUUUUUUAAUUUUCCGGUUGCACGGGAUACUUAGUCAUCAUACAAUAAGCGUUGUGAAAUGGAAGAGCUCAGUAGGGCGGGGGCGGAUAGAUUCCAGAGGGAGGACCUGUUGUCAUUCAGAGACAAAGAGAGCUCAUGUCAAGCACCUGGAGCUGGAGGAUCAGAUUCAUGAGAACUGAAAGUCCGAAGAAAUGUGUGUACCUGGAGGAUAAUAAGUUGGAGGCGGAUAUGGUGUUGGAGGAUACACAGCGGCAGGAGGGGGAGGAGGAGGGUACGCCUGUGACAAUGGAGGAUAGCCAGCUGGAGGGGCGGAACCCGUGGGAGGAUAUGCUAACGGUUGAGGAGGAGGAGGGUAUGCUGCGUAGGGAGAUGGUGCAGUGUACGCUGGGGUUGGCGGGUAAGGAGUUGGGGGCGCCUGUUGAUGUGGUGGUAGGACCUGGCUCAUGCCGCUUGAUGGUGUUGCAUAAUUUGGUGCUGGUAUUGGAGCUAACUUUGCCUUCGAUUGCUGCUCAAUAUCAAACAUUGGUCGAUUAAUUAUUUGGUUCAAAUGCGAAAUAUUCGUCAAGCUGGCAUAGCACUAACGUAAGUAAGUACGGUACGGAUCGGGUUAGAGUUAGACAUAUUACAUUAGUGGCACUUGAGUAGUGCAAUAUCAAUCUGAUUUCCCCCGAGUGUCUGCAUCGUAUUGGAGAUGUAUCAGAGACAUAAAAUUAUGGAAAUUGAAGCUUUUGAAAGAUGAGCUUUGAGUCUGACCUGCCGGUUUUAGUCUGAAGCGGCCAGGCAGCAUCAUCAAAACCUUGGGAAAGGGCUUUGUGAAGUUGGAUCCUGUAAGAGGUAAAGGACGCACUAAUUUAAUCAAGUUGAAAUUAGUAAUUAAUGUUCGGUUCUUAUCUAGUUUCUGAUUUGUUAAGAUUAGUUGUAGAGGUCUCUGAUGAUGGCAAUUACCUUCCAGAGCCAAUGAACUCAUCAGGAGUAAGGGUGUGGCUAUUCCAGACCACAACAUUUAGUUCGCGGAGGCCCUCAAUGAGUGGCAAAACGAACUUUUCUUGGAAAGUGGGAUUUUUACCUCCAUCUAACAAUUUAAUCGGAGGAAACCAAACCCAAAGUAUAUUUCUUAACAAUUGAAAUGAUAUCCAGAAAUUCAACAAUAAUUUAUAUAAAACAUAAGCAACAACAAAACAAGGAUCGGUGUUAUAUAUAUAUAUAUAGAUAUAGAUAUGUACCGGUACAGGUUUUUGUUCGGUACUUGGAGCUUCCGUAUUCAAGGCACACAUAAGGAUCUUGUCUUGAUAUCCAUUCUUUAUCAUCCAAAUUAUAACAUCCAACGACUGCAAAUAAAAUCGAUAAUCAUAUUAGCCAAAACCAAAAUACUGUAAAAUGCUAAACAAAUCGUAUAUACUACUAAUAUACCAGUGAUUUCAAGUGGAAGGCCUUGGAUUCCAGAGAUCGACAUGGGUCUUAAUUCCUGUGAAUUUCUGCCAAUUAAUGAAGCUGGGUAUUGUCAAUUGUGCGACAUAUAUGUACAUAUAUGGGGAACGACUUGUUCUUGAUGAAGGGUUGACGUUGACGCAAGCCUUUACUCUUCCUCGCCUCAACCUCAAUUUCGAUUACGAUAAUAAUAAUGGCACAAUCCCAUCAACUUGCCAAAGAAUUCAUGCCCAGACACAGUAUUCCAAUGAUUAUAAUAACCUAGUCAAAGUCUUCCAAUGGGUUGUAUGAAGGGAACGUGCAAUGAAAGUUGAGAAAUAACAAUUUCAAACAUACGAAUUGCCUAAAGUUUUAAUGUUAACGUAAACUAAAAAUUUUAAAAAAAAAAAGGAUAAAAACCACGCACAUUUUGAAAGCUAAUGUAGCUUUUCAUUGCGCAUUACGCAAUCCGAUUAGCCCAGUAUUACCUACUACGGCUACAGCUUCGGCUAGCGAGAUAUAAAAUCAUUUCUUUCGUUGACUUAAGAAUAUAAUUUAAAUUUCAAAAACCGCGGAAUAAACCACAUGAUAAGCUGCUUCCACUAAUCUUCCAGGCUCCGAUACCGUUGACAAUGUUAAUGCAAUUGGGAGCUAAUAAGACUCAUCCCAAUAUGAGGAAGUCGACGAUUACAUCGUUAAAUGCGCCAACCAAAAUAUUAGCAAAAUUGCAAUUUCUCAAUUAUUCAAUUCUUAUAUUGGCAUAAAAAAAAAUUAAAUUGGCUUAUCCAUUUAAAUUUGGAUGUGCUCGGUCCUAGGAUGAAAAAACCAAGUAGCCCUUCUCUCUCCCACUAGAAAGGUAGAAGCAUUGAAAUGAACUUCUGGGAUCACACCAGAAUUACGGGAUAUUUAAUGCACCCAAAACCGAUUUAGGGUGGAUUAAACAACCCCAAGAUUAAAAUUAAGGAAUUGGUACAAAUGAGUGAACUUUAGUAUUGGGCCACUCUGGAAUGUUGUUCCCUUAAUCGGCUGGAGCUUAAAAUACGCUUCGCAAUUGAGGGAAGAAAACCCAACAAAGCAAGCACCAUCGAAGUUUAAAAUAUCGUAAUUUCCCAUGUUAAAGUCAGUAUAUUUAUGUAACAAAAAUUCAGAAUGAGGAAUAGAAACACCGAUUAUUUUACAGAAUUUCAAACUUACAUUCCAGUGUACUAAUUCUAAUUUAUUACUUCAGGUACGUUAUGAUCAUUUCUUGUACUUUUUAUAAUCUUGCAGUUGCUACAUUACUCAUGGCUGAUUGAAUAUCAUCAUCAUUCGCUGUUUAUUCUAUCAGGUACCUGAUUUUGCAGAUUUUUUUUUUCCUGUUAGUGACGAAAGGACUUAUGUCCCCUAGCAUACAUUAGUGUAUAUUAAUACUAAUACUUAGAGCACAAGGUUUAUGAAUUUAUGACAUACAUAAGGUGAUUAAAAUGACAGAGAAUAGCUCUACUCGUAAUGCAUAUGAGUGCGUGCGCGCGCGCGCACACACACACAUAUAUAGCAGUUUUUUGGUCCGAAAUUUUAAAGUGUGAAAAAGUCUAGGGAAGCUUUGAAACCAUGUGAUUUAAUAGUAUUAUGAAAUUAAGUUUUAAAAGUUCACGGUUUUAAAUUUUGUUCAGACUUUUCCGUACUUUAAAAUAUUAGAUUGUAUAGAAAUAUAUCUUCAUCAAAUAUGUAGAACUGCAGCAAAGCGUGAGCUUUAAAAUAAGAGAGUGGAUAUGGAUAUGGCAUUGAGAUGAGAUGCAGGUAUAAAGUUGCAGCAAUGCCAAUGGGGAGUUAUUGUUAACAUGGUUCUAUCCAAAGGGAUAAGGAGCCGAUAAUUGCAGGGAAGCGGAGGACCAUGGCCCCUUACUAUUUGUUGCUAUCAAUCAUUUACCUUCAUCCCACUGUGGGGUACCUGCACCUUCCCCAUCCCGUGUUUUUCAACCCGGACCGCUUUUAUCAAUCAUGCGAGCUUUUGCAAACAACAACUGACCAUUACCUUUUGAGCGUUGACAACUUCAUUUAGCUUCAUAUUGUUCGCUGUUAUGCAUCUUUGAUCGAUCAAGUGGAGUAUCAUUAAAAUAGAGUUGAAAUGGGAGGAACAUUUUUAUUGAAAUAGACGUAUUAGUCAUUAAAUCCUUCCAAAUUGACUCAAUCUUAAUUUAAUGUUAGGAGAAACGAGCACGAGUUGGCAAUUGUAUAACGAAUAAACUCUGAAGAAGUAAUAUAUAGCAUCCCAUAUCUUAUUAAUCUUAUGCUAAGAGAUGGAGAGUGGAGGGCUGCACUGAGUAUGACUUGCUAUACAGUUUAUGUUAAAGAUGAGUACUGGACAAGGUAUAAAUCUCUCUUGAUCUUUGAUCUAAGGCCUGGAGAAGCGCUGCGUGGAUGGAAAUCUAUCUAACAAGAUAUAUAGUGCAAAGCCGGUGCAAGUAAAAUGCAAGUGGGGACAUAUUCACUAUGUUCAUCAUGAUGCCCUCCAGCAGCUAUUAAAACGAUAGGUGAAGGACCACAAUUUUUCUUUUUGCACCUGUUAGCUAUAAUUUUCAAUGGAAACGUUUGAUUCUUCCAUUUUCAAAGCUGUUAAGACUGCAAAUCGAUGCUUAAUCUUUAUUUUCGGCUCCAAAUUUUGUUUGUGACCAUUCUUUUGUGUGUUUAGAGAACUAUUCUUCUGGUUGAUAGAAUUUUCUGACAAGUACAAUGCAUUGAUUUCAAUCCUUGCAGUUUAAUAUAUAUUGAAUUCGAAUUUUCUAUUCUUCCUGACGGGAAGAGCUUUUCUGCACAACUUUCCCGGGAAGUGUUUGCCGAACAGAUUUAGUGGUUGUGAUCUUGGAUAUUGAUUUGGGAAAUAUGCCUGAGAAUGUGGCUAAUAGGAUGUGUAGCUCUGUAACUAAACUCUGCGACGUGGAUCAAGAUGUGGCCUUUAAUCUAAAGCUUUCUAUCAGACAACUAGGUAAAGAAAACUUAAUUUCUGGAUGAACUAUUUAUAUUACAACUGAAACAUUGCUAAUUGCUAUUGUGCUAAAACUGAAGUAAUGAACGUUUUAAGUUGUUCACAUUACAAAUGGCCAGCAUCAGUCAGCCAGCUAUAUAUGCGGGUACGCAUCUAUAGAACAAUUAUGUGAUUUUAGCCAAUAUUAAUGUUAACACAGAGGUUUCGGGCACUGUGAUGGACCUUAUAAACUUUUCUAGGACCACUGCAACUACAAACAAAUUGAUCCACUGACAUCAACUGCUAUUUAAUGUGGUUUAUGGUCUCAGAAUUGAGGAUCGUUUUUUCCGGGCUAAGUUGGUUUCAGGGUUAUAUUUCUUAUCUUAUUUAUAACUCGUUGAUAUUUUUGGGAGAUAAGUGGAAGUUUCUUGCAGAUUCUGAAAGAAACAAUUCAAGAGUAAAAUGCAUUUUCAGUAUGAUGAAAUUGUUCACAUUAACCUCUUUACUAUGAUAUUGACAUAAUUGGCCUUUCAUUGUAGAUUUGUGAGCGAGCACUUCAGUAAAUCAUAAAAUUUUUACUUAUUACUAGUUAUCUCAUUGCUGAUAUGUGAUUGAUCUGUCUAGGCGAGGGACACACUCACUCACGCAAGAGAACAAAAAGGAAGGUUCCAAGUUACAACUAGGAGAACUUGUCUGCCCAAGAACCCCGUACACACGCCCCAAAAAAAAUCGUGUAACAAACACUCUAAAUCUAUGUAUUUAAAAUGACCAAUCUUUUUGGUCUUGAGAGUAAUAGUCAUUAAGGUGGUGCUUGGAUCAUUAGUAUAAGGGGUCCCGCCAUAAAACUAACUGAGAUGGGGCACUGUAGUACUGCAAUCGUUAUGAGCGUCUUUAAAACACUCUUGAGUCAUUGCGCUUGGGGGUUGAUAAUUGUUCUAGUUCACGCUUUUCCUUUUAAUUUGUGACUUGAAACUAGGAAUCAUUUUCUCGUGGUGGCUUCUAAUGGACGGUGGACUUCCCAUGCUUAACUGUCUCUUGCAGCACACGCUGAGAAGCUUAUGUUCACGUUCUGAUUCUUCUAAUUCCUCGAAGUGGGUGUACGCUGUCUUUUGGAGGAUUCUGCCUAGGAACUAUCCUCCACCAAAGUAAGAUAAAUAGAACUAUGUCAUAUGUCAACUUUCAAUAGUAAGUUCAUGUCUAAUUAGUUAUUAGUGUUCGUAGAUCAUCACAUUGCUUUGUUGCAGGUGGGAUCGUGGAGGCAGUGCUCUUGAUCGCUCCAAAGGCAAUAAAAGGAACUGGUAACUGGGAAGCAUAGUACCAAACUCAAGUUUCAUUUGGUUUAAGUUGAGUUCUUGAAAUGGAAUUUUAUUUCAGGAUUCUUGUUUGGGAAGAUGGGUUCUGUGAUUUUUUUGAAUGUGAACGUGCCGGAAGUGGAUAUAUGAAAGGGAGGUUUGGAGCUGAUAUCUUCUUCAAAAUGUCUCAUGAAGUUUAUAAUUUUGGAGAAGGGUGAGAAUUAAUAAUCCUCUGCUUUGUUUUUCCAACUUUCUUAAAUGAGACAAAGAAACCGAGUUGGAAAAUUCGAAUUGACAAUGUGUGUGCUGCUUGGUUCCAGAUUAGUAGGUAAAGUUGCAGCAGACAAUAGUCAUAAGUGGGUGUUUAAAGAAGCCACAACAGAAAGUGAACCUGGCUUCACCUCCUCUUGGAAUGCUUCUAUUGAUCCUGUAAGGAAAUCGGGACAACUUUUCUGUUGAAUGGAUGCAUGCACGAAAUGUAAUCCUUUUCUUUCUAUCCUGACUCUUAUCAUGAUUUUGUUUCUUACUUGACACAGCAACCCAAGGCUUGGGAAUUUCAAUUUAAUUCAGGAAUUCAGGUGGGCAUUUUUACACGAUCUAUUUUCAGAAGUGUAAAAUAGACAUGUCUGUGUGAGUACUCAAGAUUGAGCCCAACUAUAACAUAUGAUAAGUUUAAUCUAUUUUACAGACAAUUGCUAUCAUUUCUGUGAGAGAAGGCAUCAUUCAACUGGGCUCCUUUGAUAAGGUCUCUCUUCUCUCUCUCUCUCUCUCUCUCUCUCUCUCUCUCUCUCUCUCUCUCUCUCUCUCUCUCUCUCUCUCUCUCUCUCUCUCUCUCUCUCUCUCUCUCUCUCUCUCUCUCUCUCUCUCUCUCUCUCUCUCUCUCUCUCUCUCUCUCUCUCUCUCUCUCUCUCUCUCUCUCUCUCUCUCUCUCUCUCUCUCUCUCUCUCUCUCUCUCUCUCUCUCUCUCUCUCUCUCUCUCUCUCUCUCUCUCUCUCUCUCUCUCUCUCUCUCUCUCUCUCUCUCUCUCUCUCUCUCUCUCUCUCUCUCUCUCUCUCUCUCUCUCUCUCNNNNNNNNNNNNNNNNNNNNNNNNNNNNNNNNNNNNNNNNNNNNNNNNNNNNNNNNNNNNNNNNNNNNNNNNNNNNNNNNNNNNNNNNNNNNNNNNNNNNNNNNNNNNNNNNNNNNNNNNNNNNNNNNNNNNNNNNNNNNNNNNNNNNNNNNNNNNNNNNNNNNNNNNNNNNNNNNNNNNNNNNNNNNNNNNNNNNNNNNNNNNNNNNNNNNNNNNNNNNNNNNNNNNNNNNNNNNNNNNNNNNNNNNNNNNNNNNNNNNNNNNNNNNNNNNNNNNNNNNNNNNNNNNNNNNNNNNNNNNNNNNNNNNNNNNNNNNNNNNNNNNNNNNNNNNNNNNNNNNNNNNNNNNNNNNNNNNNNNNNNNNNNNNNNNNNNNNNNNNNNNNNAUAUAUAAAUAUAUAUAUAUAUAUAUAUAUAUAUAUUUAUAUUAUGUUUUGUACGUUAAAUUAAAUUACGACUGAUAAAUUCUUUCAGAUUGUGGAAGAUCUCAAUCUGGUGAUCAGCGUUCAGAGGAAAUUCAGCUACCUUCAGAGCAUUCCUGGUGUCUUUGCCAUACAAAGGCCAUAUCUGCCAGUCCAUUUUCCAUACAUCAUCAAACCCAAUAAUCAUACAAUGGAAAGCCAGGAAACAGCUCUCUUAGCCGAUAACAAGUGCCUCCUAACUGGAGCAAAAAGAUUGCUCCAUGAAAUACCUGAAGAUUCUCCGCUCAAAUCUAUUAACAUAGGUUGGAACAGCCCUCAAAUUGGAAUUGCAGGAGCACCUAUUUGGUCAAUACCUCCUCUUAUGCCAACCAUGUCAUGUAGCCUUGGAGCUCUGCUAUCAAAGCUACCUUCCGUGAUCCCAUCCUGUUAUGUCAAUGAAUCUCCCAACGCAACUCUGAUGAACAACAGCAGUAGAAUCAAUGCUACAUGCAAGAGAUUGAAAGAUGAUCAUAGUGGUGUUGUAAGCGAAGUCCACGUUGCUGAUAGAAAAGUGGAGUCCUCACGCCUAUUAGAUGAUGAAGAACAAAAGCAGGUGUAUAUAAACACUAACUUACAGGAUAUGGUGGUGAGGGAACUGGGAUUUGAACCUCUGAGAGAGGAAGACAGUGCUCUAAAUUUCAAUUAAUUAGGAGAACCAAAUUAAUUUAUAGUAAUAAAGGCAAGGAGCUAAUGUUAUGGCUUUACAGUCCCCUGCUCAUGCCCCAUUGUUGCUUUGUUCAUAAAAAGGCAGCCCUUAAAAAUGUAUCGAGGUAUCAUGUGAUAGAUGUAACUUGAGAAUAUUCCUUUCACACUACGCCAAUGGCCAUGGAAAACUGAAUGCAUUUGGUUUGUCUUCUUUUCUAAAUUUCUUUUCUCCUUUCGGCCUGUUUGGAUGUCAACAAUGUGCAAUUGCAAAAGUAGCAAUGCAGAUGCUGCGUGAUAGUGGUACUGCAAAUUUUUAAUUGUUUCGCAAUGUAGCUAGACACUGGUGUGAUGAGAGAAUUGAAAUGAAACAGCUUUGUACUUGAAGCUCAAAAGCUACCAAAACUGAAUCUAUAAGUUAAGGUUACUAAUAAUCAAGGCCAGCUUUCAUAAUGAAGACUGAUUUAUAGUUAUGAGAAAGUCGUUCCCCUUUUGUUGGGCGCAAGGUUUGGGUGGCUAUGCGGGUCGCAGCGCCCGUGGUCUAGUUCCCAUCGCUUAGUGUGUUGGAGUCCACCAUAUGUAGUGGUCCCCUGAAAGCAUAUGAAGAUGAAAUAUGACUGAAGAUAAAUUCACGAUCAAGUUGUAUGCGACAUUUGGUAACCAACCUCCGACAAAAUGGAUGGUCCCCAACCUCAACUUACAGAUUUUUUGGGACAUCAUUAUAUCCAAGAAAAGGAGUCGUGAUUUUGUAAUAUACGAUGCAAGCAACCCAUUGUGGUUAGAUGUCAUCCUUAAUAUGAAACACUAUCAAUAAACUCCAUUUGAUUUGAAAAAAUGAGAAGAGAGUAGAGGAGAGUAACAGAAAAGAGAGAGGGGGAGAGAAAAUGAGGGAAAGAGAGAGUAAAUCUCAAUUUUAAUCUCUUUCCCCGCUCCUCUUUUCUUUUCCUCUCCUCUGCUAUCUUCAAACCAAACAUGCCAUAUAUGUUUACUGAUCCCCUUCUCUUGCAGUCUCAGCUUGCAGACCAAUAGCAGCGGAAGGCAGGUUGUGAAGUGUAGAAUCUGUGAUGGCCAGUGCAUGCUUAUUUCAAGCAUUGGCCUACGAUCUAAUCGUCUGACACAUGACAACUCACUGACCAGCUUGGUUGACGGAUUCAUUUGGCAUGGAAUGGAUCCAAGAUUUUAUCAUAAACCAAUACAGCCCGGCAGGACCCUUUGUUAGCAACUUGCAAUACCAUUUCUAUUUUGGUGAUACAGCAUCAGAUAGAACCAGAAUGCAAUUGUGAUGCUUCGUCCUAAAAUGUAAGUAGAUUUAAAACCACAAGUUAACCUUUCUCCCGAAUGUUGGUAAAUUUUUACGAUUGAUAAAUUUGAUGAUAAUACUGACAACUAUUAUAAAGACCCCUAUGUUUUAUUAGAAUAAAAUUGUGAUACCUGAAACCCGAACACACCAAUUAUAUGUGGUUAUGUGAUUUAGAAGGUGUCUCAAAGUUCUUUCAUUAACCAAUACGGAAAUUGAAAAAUGGAUUUCUUGUAAGAGGUAUUUGAGGAAUUCUAGGGCUAAGCUAACUCUGUUCACUGAGGCCCUGACAGGUUUUAGCUGCAGAAGGGAAAUUCCCUCCAAGGCAAAGGCCGUGCCUGUGCCAUCCUCCUCAGAAGAAGGCAACCAUGAAAAUAUUUGCUUUUUCAUGCACUUUCAUUUUCACUGCUAUAUUACUGGAAAAUGGAAAUUCAAAAUUUUUGGAUGAGAAAUUAAAACUAUCGAAAAACAAAUUGGCAAAGUUUGGCUUUUCUGCCGAGCAAAGCUGCGAGCCCAGUAGCUUGUGCAUACCAAGCCUUCCCACCACGGGAUUCGUGGAAUUCCUGUCUAUAGAGACGACUUUUCCAUUGAAAUAUAAUCUCUUUAAAGAAAAUUAAUGAUGAGAUUUUUGAUUUGGGUCCCCUCUGUCACUUCAUGUGACGUUAGGUUCACAGUGCCCCACGCCAUGGAUGCUCACAACUCAUCAGAAGCAGAUUCAGACCGACCUCCAAAAACAAUAUUGUCGUGCACUGAACACAAUUAUAAAUCUUCUAUUCCUAAACAACAAGAGCAUGCGUAAUUCAAAUGUUCGUGAUUCAAGAAGAAUCGUUAAAUAUCAAUUCAUAAAAGCCUCCGCUGAAUGACGCCAGGGAUUUGGUAGAGGACAUUGGAAAUAGAUAACAACAAUUUGUUUGUGCAUUGUUCAGAUUCAACGCAGAUAGAUAACUUACAACGCUAUAUACCAAACCAACGUCCGAAUAAAUAUUUAACAGACCAUCCACCUGCCGGUACAUUAACGUUUGGAAUGAAAUGCAGUAGAAUGAACUAAGGCCGGGGAGAAACUCAUUCACAAGCACGAAUAUUUUCAUCCUCCCUUCGGCCUUCCACUGCUCUUACAGUGCCAACUAUAAUUAAGCACUGCUACUUCCACCUUGAUUUCCAUGAGCCCAGUAAGGUUUAGCAGGGGUGCGUCGUAAUGCCCUCACUCCCAAUGGGUUGUCCUUGCUCUGUUGCAGAAAAUUCAAGAAAGCACAUAAGAAAAAUAAAAAAAUAAUCAAAAAGAGAAAACCAGGACUGCUAAAUUUAAACUUGAAAGCUCAAAAGAAAAACAUCAAACGAUUUCUUAAUAGAAUCAUGCAAUGCAACCAAAUAGCUUGAAUUUAAAACAUGAAUAUCGAAAUAUUUGCCCAUUGGUCUUUGGCACACUGCUGCAAAGCCUAGAGCAGCCAAGCGUACCAACAAAAUUUAGCAUAUCUUACCAUCAAGCAGGUCCCAGCACGAACAUUACAGAUGGGAUAGUCAUGUGGGCAGCAGCUAUAGUGGUCAUCACAGCAGGUGGCAGCCUCAAGCGGGCAGCAUCCCCAUGCAAAGCAAGAGUUACCAUACUCAAAGACACAGCAGCAAGUGUUGCUCUCAGGGCAAGAGUAAUAAUUGUCACACACAGCAGGAGGCUUUGUUGGAGAUGGAGGGGACGGUCCAGGGUUGGGAGGAUUUUGGCCUUUCUUUAUGGGAUAUGAGGCCUCCAUGGCAAUUCCACACUUGCCCGUGAGAGUGCCAGCCACGUUACGCUCCAUCCUAAUAUAGCCAGCCUCUCCCCAGCUACUGCCCCAUGAAUUCUUCACAAUCCAGUAAUCAGCUCCAUUUUCUGUGCCAUAUCCAACAGCAGUAACACCAUGGUCCAGAGAUGUCCCACAUCUUCCCGUAAAUAUACCCUGAAAAUUUGCAAAGACAGAAAAAUAUACUUGAGACUUCCUUAAAACAGAUCAGACACACACAAGACUCUUCCUGAUCCUGUUUAGAAACCAUUAGAAAUACAAUAAUUUUUGUUCAAAUACCAUCCAGUAUUGUCUCAACCAUAUCUUUUCAGAACUGCAAAAUGCAAAUACUUUGUAUCUAGAUAAUAGCAACAUCCCUAAAUCUAAAAUGUGACAAGUGCCAUGAAGAGAUGAAAGUUACCGAUUCAUAUAACUGGAAUGCCAUGCCACCUCCUUCAAUGGCAACACUCACGGGUUGAUUUGCAACUGCCUUUUGCAAAGCUUUCUCGUCAUUUAGGGGAACAUCUUCAUAGUCAUCAAUUGUAACUACUUUGGCAUUUUUCUG